rnacentral:rRNA from 1 species
GACGAACGCUGGCGGCGUGCUUAACACAUGCAAGUCGAGCGAGGAGCUUGCUCCUAGCGGCGAACGGGUGAGUAACACGUGGGCAACCUGCCCCAAGCUCUGGAAUAACUCCGGGAAACCGGGGCUAAUGCCGGAUAUGACAUCAUCGGGCAUCUGGUGGUGUGGAAAGAUUUAUCGGCUUGGGAUGGGCCCGCGGCCUAUCAGCUUGUUGGUGGGGUGAUGGCCUACCAAGGCGACGACGGGUAGCCGGCCUGAGAGGGCGAUCGGCCACACUGGGACUGAGACACGGCCCAGACUCCUACGGGAGGCAGCAGUGGGGAAUAUUGCGCAAUGGGCGAAAGCCUGACGCA